CGGCGGACGGGUGAGUAAUGUCUGGGAAACUGCCCGAUGGAGGGGGGUAACUACUGGAAACGGUAGCUAAUACCGCAUAACGUCGCAAGACCAAAGAGGGGGACCUUCGGGCCUCUUGCCAUCGGAUGUGCCCAGAUGGGAUUAGCUAGUAGGUGGGGUAACGGCUCACCUAGGCGACGAUCCCUAGCUGGUCUGAGAGGAUGACCAGCCACACUGGAACUGAGACACGGUCCAG
rnacentral:rRNA from 1 species